rnacentral:lncRNA from 1 species
UCGACUGAGCGAUGCUAUCCAUCUGAUAAAUCAUUGUACCUCUUUUAUUAUACUCGGAUGUUUCAUCUCGAGUAGCACUCAGAUCUUCUCAUGAUUAGUUUCUAUUCCUUUUUAUGUUACAAAAAAAUUCAAAAUUUUUUUAAUGUCACUCCAAAAGAGUAUUUGUUAAGAUUAAGCUUUAUUUGAUAUUUACGUAAUUCUUCAAAAACACUUCU